rnacentral:lncRNA from 1 species
UCUGUCCCUUCUGCCAUGUGAGGACACACAGAAGUCACCAUCUAUAAGAAACAGGCUCCCACCAGACACUGAGUCUGCUGGAGCCUUGAUCUUGAAUUUCCCAACCUCCAGAACUGUGGCCACCAGACUUUCUCUGCUUGUAUCCUCCCAGGACCACAGAACUCAUCGCAUCCCAAGGCAGCCUAUUCCAUCAUGGAUGAGCUCAAAGUGUUUGAAAGUUCUGCUUUAUCAAAGACAAGGUCUCACUAUGUUGCCCUGGCUGGUCUGUAACUCCUGGCCUCAAGCAGUCCUCUUAUCUCAGCUUUCCAAAGUGCUGGGAUUACAGAACUCUUGAUGGCCUGCUUCCCAUCCUCCAUCCUGGAAGACUGAUCUGAAACCCCAGGAGGAGGUCCUCUGAGCCCUGAGGCAGAGAUCUCUCACCUGGAAGAUGGGUCUAAUGACUGCGCCCCACACACACCAGAGAGGACUGCAGAUAGUGCGGGAUGAGAGGAAGAUCUCUGGCCCUGGAGACAGCAUCAUCAAGCGAAAACGUAUGAGGAAGAAAAUAGCAGAUGAGAAGAAUCAACCAAAUUCCGGAAGCUGGAAGGCAGAUGCAAGAAGGCCCUUGAAUGAUGCCAGCACCUUGAUAUUGGACUUUCCAGCCUCCAGAACCAUGAGCCAAUACAUUUCUGUUCCAUAAAAAUUACCCAGUUCCAGGUAUUCUGCUAUAGCAGCACAAAAUGGACUAAAACAAUGUUGGCACAAGACUCAGUGCUGGGCCUGGCAUGCAACAGGUCCUUGGAGUGGCGUGCUGUGUGGAUAAUGAAUAUUGGGGAAGGCAUCUCUCUCCAGCCCCUCUCAAGCUUUCUGUAGUCACUGGUCCACUCUGUAUUGCUAUGAAGAAGCUCAAGACCAGCCUGUAUCACUCGGGGUCCUGGCAGGAACCAGGUGCCACACUCAAACUGAGUAAUUGAAGAGGGUUUAAUAUGGGAGUUAUUUACAUAGGUGUGGGCUGGUGUAGCUGCCCAUAUGCCCUCAAAAUCACCUCUACAUGGCAAUAGCUACUUACUGCUAACAGAGUCUCUCUCUCAUUGCUGCAAAUAUUUUCUAGCCAUGCAAGAAACUCAGCCGGUCAUGUUGAACAAACUAAGAGUGCCAGGAAGUUAAUGUCCUGGAAGCAUUGCCAGAGGGGAGGGGGCAGUUAGAUUCCCCAGCUUCCUCGCUCCUCUGCUGGGUUAAGCCUGCAACAUAUUCAUCAUCUCCCAGAGUGCUGCCCAGGGAUAGAGCUCCAGGUGCUCAGUGUGGUGACCUGCUCAUGUCAGCUUCUUCCCCUUUCCUGUCUUGUUUCGCACCCACAUCCUUCCCAUGUUUCCUCUUCCCAAAUAAACUACUUGCAUUGAAAUCUUUGUCUCAGGCUCUGCUUCUGGGGAAACCUGAACCUAGCGAGGAGAGUUUAAGGAAAGCAACAACGGGUGGCGUGGGACUCUGGUAACAAAGGGAACCACUGCCUUUCAAGAAAACGGCAGGAGGCCAGGCACGGUAGCUCAUGCCUGUAACGCCAACACUUUGGGAGGCCAAGGUGGGUGGAUUAUUUGAGGUCAGGA